GGCGCAUUAUUUUAGCUACGCCCGGCGGGCCCCGGCGCCGGCCGCCCGGAAUGCGGCCUCCGCCCCGCCGCGCGUUGCCGGCGCCGAGAGCACCGCGCGUAGCGUAAUAAAUAAAGGCGGGGCACCGCUGCGUGCGCGCGCACCCUCCCGCGCCCUCCUCGCCCUCGGGUCAUUGACUCGGGCUCGGCCACCGCCGCUACAACCGUAGCAGUCGACGCUGCUGAAGACAACAAUUCUAAAAAGCGGUAGUACCCAUGCUCUUGGCCUCGGAACUCUGUAGGGCCUCAAUAUUUCCAAUGUCAAUGCCGUUAGUUACGCGUCGCCACAGCGGAAGUGCUACACCCUGCAUGCGUGACUCGUGAGACGCCUCGGCGAAGACAUCACUCAGUUAAGUACCUGCUAUAUUGCAGAAGGGAUAUUGACCUCAAUGAUCACACCUGGUGCUGUUAAUAUGGCUUUCUUCAACUUGGGACCAGAAUGUAGCAGCCACAUGCCAGUUACUGCGAGGAACAUGGUGAAAACGGAAAUAGAGAAACUGUCAGUAACAACAAGCGCUAGCGAAUGCACGCGUAAUUUACAAUGAAGGUAAAUAAUACCGCGAGGAAGGACAAGUGAACUAAUUAGGCGUUGUAAUUAGCCUCGGACCUGAUUGAUUAUAAAAACUAUCAACACGAUUCAUUCAUCCCGCCUCUGAUGUAACCGUCUUAUGAAAAAGUUAAGAGAACAAAGAAAAUAAACAAACAUACCAGCAUCCUGUACGGCGAGAGGCGCUGACAUUUGCCAUCAUCGUAAAGACGUCGUCUUGAUCCAUCAAUGCUAGACAGAAGAUAGUUGCCAAUCAGAUCACUAAUUAUAGUAUUGAACGGGAGUGACGGCCUGAUUGAAAACAAGAAGAAUUUUAUUUGAAAUAAUAAA